CGAGGAUUCACUCCAUGUUGCCUUAACCUCCAGGGCAAAGCUCUAUCAUCACCACCGUCGUGGCGGUGGGGUGGGUGUGCCAGGGGCUCAGCAAAUGGGGCUCACAGAAGACCCCGAGACAUGGACGGCCCCUAAGCAGAUCGCCUGGGCCAGGAACACGGGGCAUUGUACGAUGUUUCACAAGCUCUGAAGUUAUUUCCCGUCCAGACCCUGUGGUCGUGGGCCAGUGUGGUUUGUCUUCUCCCCUGGCGACGGGCACUGGGAAAACACCCGGGACCAAGAGGCUUGCAAAUCAGUUUCUGUCUGUGCUGUGGGCUUGCUCCUGACAGGUAUAUUCCGGGCGCGGGUGACUCAGGCGCUGGAGGGGCUGCCCCAGUUUCCUCUCUGGUGGGCCCACUGCUGAGAAGCUGCGCCUGCUCGUCAGUUUCCUUUCAGAUUUAGAGGAAUCCUCUGGCAAAAUGAAACUGAAAUCUUCCUUCCCUGCUGAGGUCCCCUGGUGACGGCAGGCUCCGCACAUGCCCUCGGCUGUGAGCUCUGUUGUGGGCUUGGGCUGCUCCCAUGCAUUUUGGGGGUCAGCUUUGUUGAGGUGUCAUUGGCAUACAGUAAAACUCACCAACCUGAAGCGUACCAUGUGACCUGUUUGGACAAGUGUGCGACGCAUAUCCUCUGCUGUCCUAAGAGAAAAUCCCCACCACCCCGAAAGCUCCUUCGAGGCCCUUCGCAGUUAAGCCCUGCAGGCUGACAGCCGCUCACCUGCUGACUGUGCCUGCGGUGGCUUAGCUUUUGGUAUAAUUGUCUAUAACGGCAUCACACAGAGAGGACUUUUCGGUGCCCGGCUUUUUAAACUUAGAAUUGUUCUUGAGAUUCAUCCAAAUCAUUGUAUGUAUCGGGAGUUUGUUCCUUUUGAGUGUGUUGGAAUCUAUUGUGUGACUGUGCCACAACUGGUUUGUCCACUCACCCAU
rnacentral:lncRNA from 1 species